rnacentral:rRNA from 1 species
AGAGUUUGAUCCUGGCUCAGGAUGAACGCUAGCUACAGGCUUAACACAUGCAAGUCGAGGGGCAGCAUGUCGGUUGCUUGCAACCGACGAUGGCGACCGGCGCACGGGUGAGUAACGCGUAUCCAACCUACCCUUGUCCAUCGGAUAACCCGUCGAAAGGCGGCCUAACACGAUAUGCGGUUCACAGCAGGCAUCUAAGGUGAACGAAAUGUAAAGGAGAAGGAUGGGGAUGCGUCUGAUUAGCUUGUUGGCGGGGUAACGGCCCACCAAGGCUACGAUCAGUAGGGGUUCUGAGAGGAAGGUCCCCCACAUUGGAACUGAGACACGGUCCAAACUCCUACGGGAGGCAGCAGUGAGGAAUAUUGGUCAAUGGACGGGAGUCUGAACCAGCCAAGUAGCGUGCAGGAUGACGGCCCUAUGGGUUGUAAACUGCUUUUAUAGGGGGAUAAAGUGUGCCACGUGUGGCAUAUUGCAGGUACCCUAUGAAUAAGGACCGGCUAAUUCCGUGCCAGCAGCCGCGGUAAUACGGAAGGUCCGGGCGUUAUCCGGAUUUAUUGGGUUUAAAGGGAGCGUAGGCCGUCUUAUAAGCGUGUUGUGAAAUGUCGGGGCUCAACCUGGGCAUUGCAGCGCGAACUGUGAGACUUGAGUGCGCAGGAAGUAGGCGGAAUUCGUCGUGUAGCGGUGAAAUGCUUAGAUAUGACGAAGAACUCCGAUUGCGAAGGCAGCCUGCUGUAGCGCAACUGACGCUGAAGCUCGAAAGCGUGGGUAUCGAACAGAAUUAGAUACCCUGGUAGUCCACGCCGUAAACGAUGAGUACUAGCUGUCGGAGGUUACCCCCUUCGGUGGCGCAGCUAACGCAUUAAGUACUCCGCCUGGGAAGUACGCUCGCAAGAGUGAAACUCAAAGGAAUUGACGGGGACCCGCACAAGUAGCGGAGCAUGUGGUUUAAUUCGAAGCAACGCGAAGAACCUUACCUAAGCUUGACAUCCUUUUGACCGAUGCCUAAUCGCAUCUUUCCCUUUGGGGACAGAAGUGACAGGUGGUGCAUGGUUGUCGUCAGCUCGUGUCGUGAGAUGUUGGGUUAAGUCCCGCAACGAGCGCAACCCUUGCCUUUAGUUGCCAGCAUUAAGUUGGGCACUCUAGAGGGACUGCGAGGGAUAACCUGGAGGAAGGUGGGGAUGACGUCAAAUCAUCAUGCCCCUUAUGCUUAGGGCUACACACGUGCUACAAUGGGUGGUACAGAGGGCAGCCAAGUCGUGAGGCGGAGCUAAUCCCUUAAAGCCAUUCUCAGUUCGGAUUGUAGGCUGAAACUCGCCUACAUGAAGCUGGAGUUACUAGUAAUCGCAGAUCAGAAUACUGCGGUGAAUGCGUUCCCGGGUCUUGUACACACCGCCCGUCACACCACGGGAGUUGGGGGCGCCCGAAGCCGGAUUGCUAACCUUUUGGAAGCGUCCGUCGAAGGUGAAAUCAAUAACUGGGGUGAAGUCGUAACAAGGUA